rnacentral:rRNA from 1 species
UACGGAGGGUGCAAGCGUUAUCCGGAUUUACUGGGUUUAAAGGGUGCGCAGGCGGAUAUGUAAGUCAGUGGUGAAAUCUCUAGGCUUAACCUGGAAAUUGCCGUUGAUACUAUAUAUCUUGAAUGCUGUGGAGGUAAGCGGAAUAUGUCAUGUAGCGGUGAAAUGCUUAGAUAUGACAUAGAACACCUAUUGCGAAGGCAGCUUACUACGCAGAUAUUGACACUGAGGCACGAAAGCGUGGGGAUCAAACAGG